rnacentral:rRNA from 1 species
AUUGAACGCUGGCGGCAUGCCUUACACAUGCAAGUCGAACGGCAGCACGGGAGCAAUCCUGGUGGCGAGUGGCGAACGGGUGAGUAAUAUAUCGGAACGUGCCCAGUCGUGGGGAUAACGUAGCGAAAGCUACGCUAAUACCGCAUACGAUCUAUGGAUGAAAGCGGGGGAUCGCAAGACCUCGCGCGAUUGGAGCGGCCGAUAUCAGAUUAGGUAGUUGGUGAGGUAAAGGCUCACCAAGCCGACGAUCUGUAGCUGGUCUGAGAGGACGACCAGCCACACUGGGACUGAGACACGGCCCAGACUCCUACGGGAGGCAGCAGUGGGGAAUUUUGGACAAUGGGCGCAAGCCUGAUCCAGCAAUGCCGCGUGCAGGAUGAAGGCCUUCGGGUUGUAAACUGCUUUUGUACGGAACGAAACGGUAAGCUCUAAUACAGUUUGCUAAUGACGGUACCGUAAGAAUAAGCACCGGCUAACUACGUG